UAAUAUGUAUUUUGUAGUAUAACUCUUACAGAUUGUAAAGAAAGGAAAAGCCUUCCCAGUUACCUUUUUCCUCUGAAGUGAAUCCUGAUGCAGCCUCAACUUUUUCAAGUAUUUUCCUCAGUUUCAUUAUUUUUGUAGCACAUACAUAUCCAUAUCUAAGAUAAAUGGGUUUAAACAAGCUAUUAGCUAGUUUAUAAACAAGCCAGAGGAAAAGAAAAGACUCAAGUGCUGAAACACGGGCUUGCAGAUCUUUUUCUGUGUACAGUGUUUCUGCAAAGCUAUGUACUGAGUCCUCAUACUCACCUGAUUCAGUUUUCCAAAAGCACCCCAACUGCUGAACAUCACUCAAGUGUUCCUGCAUAAAAGGGUUUUUUUAAACUGUAACCCAGCACUAACUUGCACCACUUAAUGCAGCAUUUUCAGUGUCUCAUACAACAACACCAUCAGAGUCAUUAAUGAAGAGUUAAGAAAGAUACAGAACUGUAUUUCUGAUCUGAGGAGCUGAUGCUUUCAGCAAUCAUCUCAAACUUUACAAAAAGUACAGAGAACUUUCUAAGCAUGGUGGAAAGGCAGGAGUAACCCUUUCAGUCCUCUCAGCCACUGGAGAUUGCUGCACUCUGUGUGCACCCCACUACCUGCACUACAGAUCCCCAGAACACACCAGGCAAACUAGGGAAGGAAUGGUUCAGAAGACAUCAUCUUCCUCCAGGAAUGCAAGGAAAAACUUGCCCACAGAAUUUCAGAAUUGUGUUAUAUUUGCAGGUUUAAAAAAAAAACAAAUAUGAAGACAACAUAAUAAAGAUUUUUGGCACACUCCCUUUGCUCAUUAUACCUGAGAAAUUAUGAAAUUAAUUUCCUGUUUAAUAAAAAGCAUUUUGGUCACUUGCAGAAUUACUGAAGCUCUGCAAGCUCCCCUGAAGUCUAUGACACUGUGAAACUUCAUGCCUGAGUAACACGGUGUCCAAAACGGAGCUAAAAGAAAACAAGCUACAGAA